rnacentral:lncRNA from 1 species
CUUUUUUUUUUUUUUUUUUGAGACAAGGUCUUUCUUACUGUGUAGCCCAGGCUGGCCCGGAACUCACUAUCUAGCCCAGGCUUCCUGCAUACAGAAAUCCUCCUGUCUAAGCCUCCCCCAUGCUAUGAUUUCAGUCUUCUCAUUGUGCCAACAAGGGACCCAAGGCUGUGAGAGUUUGCAGAAUUCCCAGAGACUAAAUAGCAGGCCUGGGGGCCAGAUGUUUCCAAGCUGUGGAACUUUCUCCUGUUUCUCACAUAGGCCCUAAGGUCAGAGCGGUUGUGAAGUUUGAGAAAUUCUUUGACUCCUCUUGAAGCAUGUGUCUUCAGAAGUUUGGGCACACUUGCUCUGCCUUGGCAAUGAGCCAUUUUCUCUGUUGCACCCGGAGAGCUGAGGUCUACAUGCAAGGGAGAAGAAGCAUGGUCCUCAGGCAGUGGAUCUGCUAGUGCUCUGGUGAGACACAUGAAUCCCCUCUAAUGCUAUGGAUGACAGCCAUGAUGGGAUGUGGCAAUUGACAACAUCCCAGAGUAGGCAUCUGGGUGAUGAAGCUUAAGGUCAUCUGAAGAAUCCUGGCCCUCUUGCCUCUAGUCACGGUGGCUGGAGGGAGUAGCUAUUAGCUCCGCAGUCUGUGUAUACCCAGCUGUAUCAAGCACUACUCUGAUCCAGGACUUCGCAAAGUCAACAGGUCUACUGGACAACAUGAACAACACCCUCCAUUCCAACUUUCACAUCUGAAAGAGGUGGAAAGGAACUGAGGGCUGAGCAGCCGGAACCCGCCUCUGUAUGUUUGCCAUCAGGGUCUGAGGCAGAGUUCUGUGGAGGAGCUCUGUAUUCCCUUUCUGCCCCACUCUCCUCCAAUGCCUCACUGGGUCAAGCCAAGGAAUUUUAGGUGGGAGAGCCACACAGCACAGGUAUCUGCAGAAAGGGCAUCCAGAAUGUGGGAGCAGCUACAGAGAGCCCAUCAGAGGACCCUGGAAGGUUCAGGGACUUAUGCACAACCUCUGACCAAAUGCAAGCUAAACAAAAUUGCUCUGUCCCAGAGUAAACCUAGGGCAACUCAAGGAAGCCAGGUGCAAAGAGUCACUCUUGGUUGCCUGGGAACACCUUUUCAUGAAGGACAACCAGGAGCUGUUAAUCCUGGCAGAAGACAGGGAAUGACCACAAACUCACACACCACGUAGGCAGGAUCUAGGCUAUACUCAAGGGCCCUGUGUUAAAUAGAAAAUGGAAUUGGCUGAGAGUGUAUGCUAUUUGGAGCUGGCAGUAGUCCUGCAAUCCUAGCUACUCAGUGGGCAACUUAUUGGACAAUUUAGUGAGAUCAAUAAAAAGGAAGAAAAUGGGGUUGGGAAUAUAGCU